CAUGCAAGUCGAACGGAAAGGCCCUGCUUUUGUGGGGUGCUCGAGUGGCGAACGGGUGAGUAACACGUGAGUAACCUGCCCUUGACUUUGGGAUAACUUCAGGAAACUGGGGCUAAUACCGGAUAGGAGCUCCUGCUGCAUGGUGGGGGUUGGAAAGUUUCGGCGGUUGGGGAUGGACUCGCGGCUUAUCAGCUUGUUGGUGGGGUAGUGGCUUACCAAGGCUUUGACGGGUAGCCGGCCUGAGAGGGUGACCGGCCACAUUGGGACUGAGAUACGGCCCAGACUCCUACGGGAGGCAGCAGUGGGGAAUAUUGCACAAUGGGCGGAAGCCUGAUGCAGCAACGCCGCGUGCGGGAUGACGGCCUUCGGGUUGUAAACCGCUUUCGCCUGUGACGAAGCGUGAGUGACGGUAAUGGGUAAAGAAGCACCGGCUAACUACGUGCCAGCAGCCGCGGUGAUACGUAGGGUGCGAGCGUUGUCCGGAUUUAUUGGGCGUAAAGGGCUCGUAGGUGGUUGAUCGCGUCGGAAGUGUAAUCUUGGGGCUUAACCCUGAGCGUGCUUUCGAUACGGGUUGACUUGAGGAAGGUAGGGGAGAAUGGAAUUCCUGG
rnacentral:rRNA from 1 species